UCGAGUUUACAACUUAUUGCUUAUAGUUCUUUAAUAAACAGCACUCUAAUUAGAACUGUGUCUGCUGAUCCGGCAGUCCUUAUAUACUAGAUCUUUAACAAAACUUUGCCACUAGAACAAUUGGGCAACUGAGAAUUCGCUGUCUAAUUGAUUCUGGCAACUUACCGUCGAUUCCAUUUUAUUCUAUCAUCUGUGUUCGUCACAGUAUUUUGUGACUAAAGACUGAAGACAACAUGAUAAAUAGACACAACUAGGCCGAACACAGCAGAAAAUGUUGGAUUUAUUUCAGCAAUAGCGACACAACUACAAAUAGUACUUUUUAGCUUAUACAGCACAGGCGAGGCAAACGAGGCAAUCAACACUGAAGUAGAUCACCUAACGGUGAUUUUCCAGUUAAGUAAGAUCUUCUUAAAAAGUGGUUAUUAUUCAUCUUUGCUCUUUUACCAUGUUAAUCAGGGGUGUUGUGGAAUCUGAUAGCUGUCGGAAUCAGAAUUGAAACCGAUAAAAAAAUGUAGUUGGUGUCAUGAAUUCAGAUAUUAUUGGUUUGAUGGUUGAAACGGGCUUUGUAAUGGUUUUGGGUGUCAUCGAAAUCAAUUUUAUCGGUUUUGAUAUCAGAAACAAAGCAAGAAGAUAAUCGCUCCAAAUUUAAAUAUUGCAUUGUUAUUUCCAUCGUAAAGGGGGAGUAGAGAAAGAAUCAGCUGAUCGAUGUCAACAAAGCUACAGCUGAGAGGGGUCCAUGGAGAAACGUCAAGUCCGCCUAGGGGUUGAGUUUCUGUUGACAGCCAAGAUGACCGAGUUUUAAUCGGAAAAUGGUUGCAUCUUGCUAUUUUCUUUUAAUUUAUGAAAAAUGUGUCCAAAAAAUAAUGGUUAUAUGUAAAACUUUAAUAUGUUUUCAAAAUAAAAUCAGUUUAUUUGAAUAUAUGUUCUUAAAGGAGCGGCUAUUAUUGGCAAAUUCUAGAAUAAUUACGAUAAAUAUUUAUGCCUUUUUUUAACUGUGGUAAAUUAAUAAAUAUUCACCACAGAAAAAUCUAAGGUGCAAUAAAGCAACCAUGUCAAAUAACGGGAUGCAGAAAAUGCUUAUUCAACGAAACUGAGGGCAAGGUUUAUAAAUUUGCAAAACAAUCUUCGUAAAAUAACGAAUAUUAAAUAUAUUAAGUAAUGCUCCUGAUAAAACUGUGCACACAAGAAUUUUUAUCAAUAAGCAGAGGAAACCUGUAGAAAAUAAUAAACCUUUUUUAACCCGCCCACAAUGUGCAUGAUAUUUAUAUCGUUUUGGAAGGAUUUUAUAAAAAGUUUCGGUGUCUUUGGGAUGAAAUUUACAUUGUAUAUAAUUUCAUUAAUAGACGCCCUGAUGCUUUACAUUGCGUACUUAAAUUCGAUUGAGUGAUUUUAAUUUAGAAACUGAUUUAUGUAUGAUAACGAUUUGGAAAGUGAAACAAAAAUUACGUUUUAAAUGAUACAAAAUUGUUUAUAUGUAAAUUACCAUACUCCUACGAUCAAAUUGCUUUUAUCAGAGUAAAUGUUUUAGUGUGCAUCUAAUUGUUUCGAAAGCUAAUAUGUGGUCAGUAUUAUAGUGCUCAACACCAACAAAAGUUAGAAUCAUGUGCAAUUUCUUCAUUUGCAACACCUCUAUUUGCAUUCAUUGAAACAAUUUAAAAAUCUAACCUGAUAAUAUAAAUAUAUACUUUGUUCUAAUAAAAACAUGAUUUUUUCUGUGCCAAAUAAUAUGUUUUAUUUCGUUAGAUUUUGGUACAUUUCCUUAUAUCUAUAUUGCAUUUUCCACACCACCAUGAGGUAUGCAACUAGGCGCGUUACCGAUUUUUUGG